rnacentral:rRNA from 1 species
UACGGAGGGGGCUAGCGUUGUUCGGAAUCACUGGGCGUAAAGCGCAUGUAGGCGGCUUGGUAAGUCAGGUGUGAAAGCCCGGGGCCCAACCCCGGAACUGCAUCUAAAACUGGUACGCUCGAGGAUGGGAGAGGUAGGCGGAAUUCCGGGCGUAGAGGUGAAAUUCGUAGAUAUCCGGAGGAACACCGGCGGCGAUGGCGGCCUUCUGGCCCGUGUCUGACGCUGAGGCGCGAAAGCGUGGGGAGCAAACAGG